rnacentral:rRNA from 1 species
AACCUUUACACUGUACGCAAGUGCGAUAAGGGGACUCCGAGUGUGAAGGCAUAGAGCCUUCACUUUUGUACACCGUAAGGUGGUGUACGAAUAAGGGCUGGGCAAGACCGGUGCCAGCCGCCGCGGUAAUACCGGCAGCCCGAGUGAUGGCCGAUCUUAUUGGGCCUAAAGCGUCCGUAGCUGGCCGCACAAGUCCGUUGGGAAAUCUGCUCGCUUAACGAGCAGGCGUCCAGCGGAAACUGUUCGGCUUGGGACCGGAAGACCUGAGGGGUACGUCCGGGGUAGGAGUGAAAUCCUGUAAUCCUGGACGGACCACCGGUGGCGAAAGCGCCUCAGGAGGACGGAUCCGACAGUGAGGGACGAAAGCUAGGGUCUCGAACCGGAUUAGAUACCCGGGUAGUCCUAGCUGUAAACGAUGCCCGCUAGGUGUGGCGCAGGCUACGAGCCUGCGCUGUGCCGUAGGGAAGCCGAGAAGCGGGCCGCCUGGGAAGUACGUCUGCAAGGAUGAAACUUAA